rnacentral:lncRNA from 1 species
GGACCCCCAUUUGUCCGCAUCACAGGUGUUGAUGAUUCCCAAUCAGCUCAUGCACGAGGUGGAGGACUUCAGCUAGUAGGCGAAAGGCUAGCAGAAGUUGCCAAGUCAUGCGGAGUACCUUUUGAAUUCCACGGUGCUGCACUAUCAGGCUGUGAGGUCCAAGUAGAGAAUCUUCAUGUUAGGCGUGGAGAAGCGCUGGCAGUAAACUUCCCUUACAUGCUGCACCACAUGCCAGACGAGAGCGUAAGCACGAUCAACCAUCGAGACCGCCUAUUAAGGCUAGUUAAGAGUUUGUCGCCCAAAAUUGUGACCUUAGCUGAACAAGAAUCAAACACCAACACCGCCCCUUUCCUUCCAAGGUUCCGUGAAACUCUUGAUUACUAUACAGCAAUGUUCGAAUCAAUUGAUGCAGCUC